AACAGCCCUAAUCCCCCUAACAGAUUUCAAAAAAAACACUAAGCCCCUCUUUUCUGCCGCCGCAAACACCGAUCUGAGGCCUCCCUUGAUCCCGAUUCGAGCAACAAACAGUAGGUAUUGUUGGCGCAUGGAGCGGUGCACGCUGGGGAGGGUCGUGGUGCGAGAUUCGCGGCGGUGUGCGAGGGUGGUACUGGAGACUGCUGGGGCUUGCGGCGUUGGGGUCAAAGCUGCUAGGGUUUUCGGUAGAAAAUUUGUUUAGUGGGCUGUUGGGGUUUGGGCCUAGGUUUAGUUUAUUGGGUUGUUUUACUAUUUGUAAGGCCUGGACCAUUUGGGCCGAUUACAGAGUUGAUUUCGAAUAGACUCUUGAUAUCAACUUAAUAAAUCAUUUUAUAUAAGUAUAGAUAGAUAUAGAAACAAUGUGAGUGAAAAGUUUGUGUGAUAAUAUUCAAAUGUAAAAAAAAAAAAAAAAAAAUCAAAAUAAAGCUUUGGUUAAAAUAAUAAAGUUAAGAUUUUAUA